GACGAACGCUGGCGGCAUGCCUAAUACAUGCAAGUCGAGCGAACAGAUGAAGUGCUUGCGCUUCUGACGUUAGCGGCGAACGGGUGAGUAACACGUAAGGAAUCUACCUAUAAGCGGGGGAUAACAUUCGGAAACGGGUGCUAAUACCGCAUAAUAUCUUCUUCCGCAUGGAAGAAGAUUGAAAGACGGCUCUGCUGUCACUUAUAGAUGACCUUGCGGUGCAUUAGUUAGUUGGUGGGGUAAUGGCUUACCAAGACGAUGAUGCAUAGCCGACCUGAGAGGGUGAUCGGCCACAUUGGGACUGAGACACGGGCCAAACUCCUACGGGAGGCAGCAGUAGGGAAUCUUCCGCAAUGGGCGAAAGCCUGACGGAGCAAUGCCGCGUGAGUGAAGAAGGCCUUCGGGUCGUAAAACUCUGUUAUAAGAGAAGAACAAAUUGUAGAGUAACUGCUACAGUCUUGACGGUAUCUUGUCAGAAAGCCACGGCUAACUACGUGCCAGCCGCCGCGGUAA
rnacentral:rRNA from 1 species